rnacentral:tRNA from 1 species
GCGGGAGUAGCUUAGGGGUAGAGCGUCUCCUUGCCAAGGAGAAGGUCGCGGGUUCAAAUCCCGUCUCCCGCU